CCUACGGGCGGCAGCAGUGAGGAAUAUUGGUCAAUGGACGAUAGCCUGAACCAGCCAAGUAGCGUGAAGGAUGACUGCCCUAUGGGUUGUAAACUUCUUUUAUAUGGGAAUAAAAUGCAGCACGUGUACUGUUUUGCAUGUACCUUAUGAAUAAGGAUCGGCUAACUCCGUGCCAGCAGCCGCGGUAAUACGGAGGAUCCGAGCGUUAUCCGGAUUUAUUGGGUUUAAAGGGAGCGUAGGCGGGUUGUUAAGUCAGUUGUGAAAGUUUGCGGCUCAACCGUAAAAUUGCAGUUGAUACUGGCAGUCUUGAGUACAGUAGAGGUAGGCGGAAUGCGUGGUGUAGCGGUGAAAUGCUUAGAUAUCACGAAGAACCCCGAUUGCGAAGGCAGCCUGCUGGACUGUAACUGACGCUGAUGCUCGAAAGUGUGGGUAUCAAACAGGAUUAGAUACCCGGGUAGUC
rnacentral:rRNA from 1 species